UACAGAGGGAGCAAGCGUUGUUCGGAAUUACUGGGCGUAAAGGGCGCGUAGGCGGUUCGAUAAGUCCCGUGUGAAAUCCCUCGGCUCAACUGAGGAAUUGCACGGGAAACUGACGGGCUUGAGUUCGGGAGAGGGAAGCGGAAUUCCGGGUGUAGCGGUGAAAUGCGUAGAUAUCUGGAGGAAUACCGGUGGCGAAGGCGGCGUUCUGGACCAUUACUGACACUGAAUCGCGAAAGCUAGGGGAGCAAACAGG
rnacentral:rRNA from 1 species